rnacentral:rRNA from 1 species
GACGAACGCUGGCGGCGUGCUUAACACAUGCAAGUCGAACGGAAAGGCCCUGCUUUUGUGGGGUGCUCGAGUGCCGAACGGGUGAGUAACACGUGAGUAACCUGCCCUUGACUUUGGGAUAACUUCAGGAAACUGGGGCUAAUACCGGAUAGGAGCUCCUGCUGCAUGGUGGGGGUUGGAAAGUUUCGGCGGUUGGGGAUGGACUCGCGGCUUAUCAGCUUGUUGGUGGGGUAGUGGCUUACCAAGGCUUUGACGGGUAGCCGGCCUGAGAGGGUGACCGGCCACAUUGGGACUGAGAUACGGCCCAGACUCCUACGGGAGGCAGCAGUGGGGAAUCUUGCACAAUGGGCGGAAGCCUGAUGCAGCAACGCCGCGUGCGGGAUGACGGCCUUCGGGUUGUAAACCGCUUUCGCCUGUGACGAAGCGUGAGUGACGGUAAUGGGUAAAGAAGCACCGGCUAACUACGUG